GCCUGGGUGGCUCAGUCGGUUAAGCAUCCGACUUCGGCUCAGGUCGAGAACUUGCGGUUCGUGGGUUCGAGCCCCGCGUCGGGCU
rnacentral:tRNA from 1 species